CCUACGGGUGGCAGCAGUGAGGAAUAUUGGUCAAUGGACGAGAGUCUGAACCAGCCAAGUAGCGUGAAGGAUGACUGCCCUAUGGGUUGUAAACUUCUUUUAUAUGGGAAUAAAAUGUUCCACGUGUGGGAUUUUGUAUGUACCAUAUGAAUAAGGAUCGGCUAACUCCGUGCCAGCAGCCGCGGUAAUACGGAGGAUCCGAGCGUUAUCCGGAUUUAUUGGGUUUAAAGGGAGCGUAGGUGGAUUGUUAAGUCAGUUGUGAAAGUUUGCGGCUCAACCGUAAAAUUGCAGUUGAAACUGGCAGUCUUGAGUACAGUAGAGGGGGGCGGAAUUCGUGGUGUAGCGGUGAAAUGCUUAGAUAUCACGAAGAACUCCGAUUGCGAAGGCAGUUCACUGGACUGCAACUGACACUGAGGCUCGAAAGUGUGGGUAUCAAACAGGAUUAGAUACCCGAGUAGUC
rnacentral:rRNA from 1 species